ensembl:lncRNA
AACAGUGAUUGUGUUAGCUGUGUUGUUGGCUAGCUCCUCUGAACAACAGUGAUUGUGUUAGCUGUGUUGUUGGCUAGCUCCUCUGAACAACAGUGACCUGAGGAGAGAGCACAUCUGUCAGGUGAAAUCAUGCAUCAUUAGCUCAUUGUUAUGGAUGUAUCCUAAUAAAUGUCACUAGAAAACAGAUUAUGCAAAUGCAGAUACUGUUGUCAUUCUUUUUGAUGUUUAAUGUGACUGUAAGUUAGCUGUUGUUGGCUAGCUAGAAAGCAAGGGAUAAGAAUGUUGCCAUCCAGUAUAGCAAUGGAACAUUUAGAACAAAAAGACUGAACAACUGGGUCGCGUCUCUGGCAACCGAACCAAUAUAACGAACGACUAGCCGGCUUUGGGUAGCAACCCUAGAUAUCUGUCGGUACCAUAUCUUGUGGAAGGAUGCAAUAGUAUGAAUAAAUUAAUCAAAAUAACAUUUUUAAUGCAAAUAUGUCAAUCAUUAUUUGAAUAUGUUGGUAACCCGUUGUAUAAAAGUGAUAGUCGGUGUUUGGAGGAGAUAUUGGGACAGUUUUCCGGCCCUCGACUUCAUCUCGGACACCUGUGCCAAUAUAUCCUCCAAACACAGGCUUCUCUGGCAUUAUCACGUAAAUGUCUCAGCAGUAAACAUUGUCUAUAGAGAUUCUAGCACUGAGUGAAGGAGCUUGGUAUCAGAGCAAUAUAUUUAGAAUGUUGGGCCAACAUUUACAAUUUUGAAUAUUGUUCUAAUUCUAGACAUACAGUUACAUAGCAAUAUUUAAAUAUUCCCCAUGUGACGUUAAUUGGGAGCUAACAUGGCUGCCAUAGAAUGUUGAAGUGUCAUGUAAAUGCAUCUUAAUGCAGAAACCUCUCUAAAUACAUGGCUCUGGUAAGUAUGAAUAAAACCAUGAGAACAGUCUGUGGAGUGUGGACAGUGUCAGUGUGCAUCUCUCCUCUCAUCUUAGCUCUCUGUCAGUGAACAACGAUGGGUAACAUCUUGACAGGGUAGAAAUGCACAGACCAUAGUGCUGCAUUCCCAAAAUUUGCUGUCCAAAUAGGAAUACUGCAGAUAGCAAUUCCCUCGCAUGCAUUCCAUAUACACACAUUAAUUAUUAAGCUGCCUAGCCUUUGUCUAUUGGAAUUCUACAUAGCUCAUCACCAUUUCUCCUGAAAUCACAAAGCUAGCACAAAUAUAUGGUGAUAAGGUUGUUGCAUAAUCAUCACGAUGUGAUUCAACAACAUAAACUGGAUCAUCUCAAGUUAGCAGUACGAACAUAAACAUAACUAUAAUUCUAGGCAACAUUCAUCAUCUUAUUGACAUCUCUAAUGAACAUAGAAUCUCAUCAAUGAAAGGACUGUAUUUUCCCAUACAUAGAAUCUCUAUCAUUAAGGUUAUCGUCUUAGUCUUGACUAUAGGAGCAAAAAGAUGUAUAAUAAUUUAGGAAUGUCAUUUUUUUCUCAUUCUUUGAUUUGUUGUCACGACUCCCACCGAAGGUGUCUCCCCUGCCUGUUCGGGCGGUGCUCGGCGGUCGUCAUCGCCGGUCUACUAGCCGCCACCGAUCCCUUUUUCCUUUUCUGUUAGUUUAGUCUUUUCUGUUAGUUUAGUCUAUUAGUUGCACCUGUUCCUUUUUGUGUUUCUUGAUUUGUGUCUCUUUAAGUCUGUUAGGCUCGUUUAGGUUUGUGUCUCUUUAAGUCUGUUAGGACGCUUAGGUUUGUGUCUAUUUAAGUCUGUUAGGACGCUUAGGUUUGUGUCUCUUUAAGUCUGUUAGGCCCGUUUAGGUUUGUGUCUCUUUAAGUCUGUUAGGCCCGUUUAGGUUUGUGUCUAUUUAAGUCUGUUAGGACGCUUAGGUUUGUGUCUAUUUAAGUCUGUUAGGACGCUUAGGUUUGUGUCUAUUUAAGUCUGUUAGGACGCUUAGGUUUGUGUCUAUUUAAGUCUGUUAGGACGCUUAGGUUUGUGUCUAUUUAAGUCUGUUAGGCCCGCUUAGGUUUGUGUCUAUUUAAGUCUGUUAGGACGCUUAGGUUUGUGUCUAUUUAAGUCUGUUAGGCCCGCUUAGGUUUGUGUCUAUUUAAGUCUGUUAGGACGCUUAGGUUUGUGUCUAUUUAAGUCUGUUAGGCCCGCUUAGGUUUGUGUCUAUUUAAGCCUGUUAGGACGCUUAGG